rnacentral:tRNA from 1 species
UUAGCUCAGUUGGUAGAGUGCCUGCCUUGUAAGCAGGAUGUCAGCGGUUCGAGUCCGGUAGGGGCCACCA